AAAACAGAACCAGAUAUUUAGGUAUUAGUGGUAUUUACUAACCAGGUAUUAGUGUAAGAACGAAGGGUGGUUGUUAUCAAGGCGCAGCAUGCAGUGUAUGGGAUUGUUCGAACUAUAAUUCGUGGUAUGCAAAGGGAUUGAAAAAGUGGUGUUAGAGCGGAUCGGACGUGGAAGGACUAGAGAGUUGAUGAGCAAAAGGAGAGAUGGUGCGUCCAUAGAACCGCUGUUGAGGUUACGGAGGAACUUCAAGUUAAUAUCAACUCUUCUAUCGGCUAGCGUUGAUAGAAUAAGUACGUAAAGAACUGAAGAGUAGUCAUGCAACGGGUGGGGGAUAUUCAGCAUAUGGGUGGCAUAUGAUAGAAAACGUAUUUGGACUCACCCGAUGAUUGUAGAGUCAGAGGCUAUAAUAGAAUCGCACAAUA